UUUAUGGAGAGUUUGAUCCUGGCUCAGGAUGAACGCUGGCGGCGUGCCUAAUACAUGCAAGUUGAGCGAACGGACGAGAAGCUUGCUUCUCUGAUGUUAGCGGCGGACGGGUGAGUAACACGUGGAUAACCUACCUAUAAGACUGGGAUAACUUCGGGAAACCGGAGCUAAUACCGGAUAAUAUUUUGAACCGCAUGGUUCAAAAGUGAAAGACGGUCUUGCUGUCACUUAUAGAUGGAUCCGCGCUGCAUUAGCUAGUUGGUAAGGUAACGGCUUACCAAGGCAACGAUGCAUAGCCGACCUGAGAGGGUGAUCGGCCACACUGGAACUGAGACACGGUCCAGACUCCUACGGGAGGCAGCAGUAGGGAAUCUUCCGCAAUGGGCGAAAGCCUGACGGAGCAACGCCGCGUGAGUGAUGAAGGUCUUCGGAUCGUAAAACUCUGUUAUUAGGGAAGAACAUAUGUGUAAGUAACUGUGCACAUCUUGACGGUACCUAAUCAGAAAGCCACGGCUAACUACGUGCCAGCAGCCGCGGUAAUACGUAGGUGGCAAGCGUUAUCCGGAAUUAUUGGGCGUAAAGCGCGCGUAGGCGGUUUUUUAAGUCUGAUGUGAAAGCCCACGGCUCAACCGUGGAGGGUCAUUGGAAACUGGAAAACUUGAGUGCAGAAGAGGAAAGUGGAAUUCCAUGUGUAGCGGUGAAAUGCGCAGAGAUAUGGAGGAACACCAGUGGCGAAGGCGACUUUCUGGUCUGUAACUGACGCUGAUGUGCGAAAGCGUGGGGAUCAAACAGGAUUAGAUACCCUGGUAGUCCACGCCGUAAACGAUGAGUGCUAAGUGUUAGGGGGUUUCCGCCCCUUAGUGCUGCAGCUAACGCAUUAAGCACUCCGCCUGGGGAGUACGACCGCAAGGUUGAAACUCAAAGGAAUUGACGGGGACCCGCACAAGCGGUGGAGCAUGUGGUUUAAUUCGAAGCAACGCGAAGAACCUUACCAAAUCUUGACAUCCUUUGACAACUCUAGAGAUAGAGCCUUCCCCUUCGGGGGACAAAGUGACAGGUGGUGCAUGGUUGUCGUCAGCUCGUGUCGUGAGAUGUUGGGUUAAGUCCCGCAACGAGCGCAACCCUUAAGCUUAGUUGCCAUCAUUAAGUUGGGCACUCUAAGUUGACUGCCGGUGACAAACCGGAGGAAGGUGGGGAUGACGUCAAAUCAUCAUGCCCCUUAUGAUUUGGGCUACACACGUGCUACAAUGGACAAUACAAAGGGCAGCGAAACCGCGAGGUCAAGCAAAUCCCAUAAAGUUGUUCUCAGUUCGGAUUGUAGUCUGCAACUCGACUACAUGAAGCUGGAAUCGCUAGUAAUCGUAGAUCAGCAUGCUACGGUGAAUACGUUCCCGGGUCUUGUACACACCGCCCGUCACACCACGAGAGUUUGUAACACCCGAAGCCGGUGGAGUAACCUUUUAGGAGCUAGCCGUCGAAGGUGGGACAAAUGAUUGGGGUGAAGUCGUAACAAGGUAGCCGUAUCGGAAGGUGCGGCUGGAUCACCUCCUUU
rnacentral:rRNA from 1 species